CCCCCCCCCCAACCUUCCCUCUCCUUUGUUUUUGCAGUGUUGAGGACAUAGCCCUGCAUGCUAGGCAAGCACUCUGUCACUGAGUUGAAGACCUCCUCUUUUUUCUGACUUUCCCCCUCAAAAUAAUAACACAAACGUGGAAGGAAAGACCAAGCUGAAGAAGGAAAUGUAUAUUUUGGAGAAAGAAAAUGUAUUUUUGUCCAUAUAUUGACAGAGGAAGUUCAGUGCCCUGUUCUUUGAGAACAGGUAGUCAUCCGCUCAUUGGAGGAGUACCAUUAACAUUCAUGAGCCUUUUGGAUGAAGCAGGAGAAUACAGGUGAAUUCUGAUGACGCUGUGAUAAAAUGCUCCUUCAUAAGGAAAGGGAUUAAAGUGAUUGUACCUGACUCCUUAUCUAAGGGUCUGCUUCUAACAUUUCCACAGUGAGACAAAAUUUGUUGAUUCCAGAAGUUAAUGGAAAGAUGCAGAAACUGAGACACACAGAAGCUAAGUUGCUCAGUGUCACACAAGUGGUGAGGACAAGUUUGAGUCCGAGUGGUUUGUCUCAAAAGUGCUCAGAAGGACUCCACCAUGGACUGGGGUGUACUCUGCUGUCUGGAGAGGAGUGUUCAAAACUUCAGGGGAGCGUCUGUGUGUGGAGGCCCUUGCCUGCAAUCCCAGCUACUCCAGAGGUUGAGGCAGGAGGAUUGCAAGUUCCAGGCUGCCCUAGACAACUUAGUGAGGCCCUGUCUCAAAAUAAAAUUCAAAAUAAAGGACUGGGAAUGUAGCUCAGUGGUAGAAGGCUUGCCUAGCAUGAGCAAGGCCCCUUGGUUCAAUCCCCAGUACUACAAAAAUAAAACAAAAGAAAUUUAAAGGGAGCAGAGGCAAAGGACAUGGAGAGAGUCCUUUGGUAGAUGAAAGUGAGAAGUUCAAUUAUACUAACACUUCCCAGUCAUUCAAGAUGUUUGUACUUCUAGUAAGAGAUGAGAUAGUGGUAACUAGCAAGAAGUAUGCUGGAGUUUUGAACUCUACCUGCUAAAAAUCAUAAUAUACAGAGCCUACGCAUUUGGAAUCUCAAGGAGGACUUUUUAAUCAGAGGUAGAUAGAAAUAAAAAGUGCUUACUUAGCCUGGAGCUGAAUGUAAUUUUGAGUUGAAAGCUUAAUUAUCUAAAUUUCACCUAUGUGAGCAAUCGUAUUCUGUUUAUAUAAUUCUAUUUUAAGACAUGAGUUUAAAAUAUGGCUUUGCUAUAAAUAAAUAUCUGUUUUUACAUACAAAGACCACUGGUGAGAUACAAAGAUGCUUUAAUUUUUUCUUUUCUAGGGCUUUAGAUGUUUAAGAAAAUCUACGCUAUAGUAUCCAACUGAUAAGUCAGUUUAAUGACACUACCAGUAAGAGUGUAAAGGAGAACAAAGCAGCUAAAAAGUAAUCUCUUUCCUUAUUCCUGCAUUAUCUUUAUAAGAUACACAGUCUAUCGUCUUUCUUUUGCUUAAUAAAAAAAUUUAAUCAGUAUCUCCUUUGUCUACAGAAUACACCACCAUUUGGCUUUCACACUUCUAGCCUCUUGUCCCACCUUUUCAGGCUCUGUGCACUUGGGAUUUUUCAGUCUUCUCUCCAUAGCCAUACAGGGUCAAAGCCCUUCAAUCCUUGUGUCCACUCCAUGUGGUUCUCAGUCCCUGAUUAUCUGUGUCCUUAUGCCAGGGGUAGGCAAGCUCAGCUCUCAGCCUGUCCCGAAGCCCCUACCACUAUCCAGAGAGGACUACUGAUGACCCUCUGCCAUGUUCCCAUAACAUUUUGAGGCUUUCGCCUAAGUUUUCGUUUCUGUGGUGAUGAGUUAGGUAUAAUAUCUUCUCAUUCUAAGGUUUAGUUAGGUAUAUUUACAGAAUCAAGAGGAUUUGAAUUGGAAAGUGCCCUAGAGAUCAGCUAAGACAACCUUCUCAUUUCACCAGAAAUAACUGAAAUUUUAGGAGACAUAUCCAUUUUGUUAUUUCUGGUUAGUCAUAGAACUCAAACUAGAACUUUGUCCUGACCCUGUGCUUUUUUUUUUAUAAAAUAUGCUGUAGACAAUGUCAUUUUUUCCUUUAAAUUGUCCCUGUUCUACUUCACAGAAUCCAAGGAAAUGUUAGAUUACAUGACAAAGGGCCAUUAAGUUUGUAGACAGAAUUAAGACCAAAUUUAAAAUGGGGAAAUUAUCCUGGAUUCUCUGGGUAGAACUUUUGUGGUCAGAAAAGUAUUUUUAAAUGUGGGAAAGGAAGGCAGAAGAGUGUCACAGUGAUGUGAUAGGAGAAAGAUUGGCCAUACUGGCUUUGAAGAUGGAAGGAGGCCAUGAACAAAGGAGUGUGGGUGAUGUCUAGAAACUGAAAAGGGUAAGAAAAUGAAUUUUCUCCCACAAUCUCCAAAAGAAAUAUAUUUCUGACAGCACUUUGAUUUGGGCCCAGUGACACCCAGUUAGACUUCUGACAUCCACAACUAUACUAUAAGAUGAUAAAUUUUCUGUUUUUAACCUGCUAAAUUCAUGGUAAUUUAUUUUAACAACAAUGGGGAAUGGCUAUAAGCUUCUACAUGCAAAUAGCAUUAAAUGGGUAAUUCAAGGCUUAAUACAGAGCAAUUUGAACACUGAAAUUUCUUAAAAGGCAUAUUUUAUUUUCACAAAAUUUGUAUUUAUUUUGAAUGUUUUUGGUUUUAUUUAUUCCUUCCAACAGAUUUCUAUUAAAUGUGUGCCAUUUGCUGUAUCAGACAUUAUGGUAGAUUGAAUAGCCAUCUCCUUGUUGCUGUCUCCUUGAGGAUAAAAUGCUAAUUUCUGAUGUCUUUUUCUUUUCUGGUACUGAGGAUUGAACCCAGAGCCUUCACAGGGUACUACAUCUCCAGUCCUUUAUUUUUUAUUUUGAGACAGGGUCCUACUUAGUCACCAAGUUGCUCAGGCUGGGUUUGAAGUUGCAAUCCUUCUUCCUCAACUUCCCAGAGUGCUGGGAUUAUUAGCAUGUACCACCACACCCAGAUUCUUAUGCUUUGACUUUCUAAUUUGUUUUGGACAUUUGCAUGUGGGCAGAAGAAAUGUGCCACUUUUGAGCAAAGUUUAUUAAUUCUGCUUGCUUUCUUAUGGCUUUGUGAUGUUACUGCUUUAAAAUGAGGCUCCCCAUGUUAUCUGCUACCUAAUCUGGACAACACUUGAAACACUUGAAAGAGUUCCCACAGACUUGUGAGGAAGCUACAUGCUUAUUUUGCUAUGCCAAUGGUACUACUGAGUGUGUUACAUAGUCAUAACAGUAGAUGACUGGCUUUGUCAUGUAAACAAAUGACCUACACACUUUUUAAAGAGUUUUAAUAGUAGAAACAUAUGCAGUUAAUGGAAUUAUCUCAUAGUAUAAAGGAGUGUUUUAUCAAAGAGAAGUCCAGGAGGCUUUAUAGAUAGGGUAAUAGCUGAGCUGAAUCAGAAAGGAUGGAAAUAAUUUCUCUAGUCUGUAAAAGGUGUGACUUGAGUAGAUGAGAAAGGCUCUUCAGGGUAAAUAUAAUACUGUCUUAAUCAAAACACCCAACACCCACACCUCAAAGGAGGAAAAGUUUAUUGUGACUCAUAAUUCCCGUCCAUGGUUGGUUGGCUUCAAGGCAGAAACAGGGCAACAGAGGGGCAUGGUAAAGGAAAAGGAAAAGGAAAAGGUGCUUAACCCAUGGUGUCCAGGAAGCAGAUGAAAAUGGAGGAGGUGGGGAAGGAGAUGCACCUUUACAGGUCUCACUGCCAGUGACCCACUUCUUCCUACUUGGCCCUGCCUCUGACCAGCACAUUUCAUUAUAAUCCAUUGAUGAGUAAAGUGCCUCCACAAUCCAGUCACUUUCCAAAACACAGGAAAAUUUGAAAGGGCAUUUUAGAUCUAAACCAUAACACAUAUCUUUAAGCAAAUUUAAAGGAAAUUUAGUGUCAACUGAAGGCACUAGGAAAUAUGCCUUUAUUUUACUCUGGGUUUGUCUUUUUUGAUAGUUUUCCCAUAGAACUUGCAAAGUAAUAUUUCUCAAGUAAAUAAAUAGGUAUUAUGUAUGAUUUCUGAGAUGACCACAAAAUUGUGAUGUAAUUCUUUAAGGAGCAGAGACAGCAGGAAAUAAAGAGGAACUAGUUUUCAAAGGCUUCCUAUGGUGCAGGUAGAUUCUCUGUCUCCUUCUUAGCAAAGGUAAUUCCCUGUCUCUCCACUGAUAGGACACUGCUAAUGCCACCCCUCUUUUUCUGACAUUAUUUUCAGUGCAGAAUUGCUUUUUCCAGCUGAAUUACUCCUGGAUCACUUUGGAUUUUCAAGUGGUUUUAAGUACACAUGCAAGUCAAUACCAAGAACAACUAAGAAAUUGAUAGGAAGGUCAUGUCUUUUAAAUUUGUAAACUAUGCCAUGAGUGGGGCUAGGAGACCAUGGCACUUGUUUCAUUCUUUGGUGUAUUGGUCUUUCUUAGGUUCUGGGACAUCCUACUGUACCCUAACCCUAGAUAGUCUUUUUCCAAACAGACACCUUUAGUCACAAGGGAAAGGUAAGACAAUGGUAAGUCUUUCCUUUCAGGAAGAAUAGCAUAAUUUUCCAACUCACUGUGGAUCAGCAGUAUCUUUCUGUCUGAUAAGAGAGAUACAUGUCAUGAUUUUAACAGAGUUUGAAUUUGUUCCACAGAGUAGACUUGAAACUAUGUAAAAUCUUAUGCACAUUGCCAUGUGUGCCUCACCUCCUUCUAUCAUAUCUAAAAAUUUCAAUUUUAAUUCCCAUGUAAUUUACUUUUGUUAUUUAAAAAUUUUCAUAUUCACAUAGCCAAAUUCUAUGCAACUUGCAGAAAAAAUGCGUACUAUUUCUGUCAAAAAUUGCAUGCAAUUCUAAAAUAAGCAGAGUUGAAGAUGUUAAUGAAAAGAGAUCUGCAAGUGUAACUAAUAUGAUCUCAUUGUUAAACAAUUCACCAAAUAAAUGCCGUGGUUGGAUUUAGAUACCAGAUGUCAAACCACAUAGUAAUGAAGAUACAGUUGCUUGCUUCCCUGUCACUGGUCGCCAGAAAGAAACAGAUGGUUAAAAAGAUAUGUAGCUGAGGCAAGGCAUGGAAAUAGGAAACCACAGAGUAGAAAUUCUGCCUUUUAAGUAACAGUAAUUUUCUAGUCUGGAAAACAUGGUGUUUUAUACCUCCUCUUAUGCACUUAAGCAGUUUAAAUGUGAAACAUAGCAAAAAUAGUCCAAGCAAGGCUGGCAACUUGCAAAUUUUGCAGUGCAUAGUUGCAUCUCAAAAAUCUUGGAGGCAGACGUACAACAGUAAAAGGCAAACACUUGUAAGCAGUUGAAUACAAUUAUGUGGUGGUUAUUACCUAAGCUCAUUACAGCUUCAGAAGGGGUUCUGUGAACUUGUGCUCUAACUAGUAGGUCAGGCAAAAUGCAAAUAAGGACUAAAUUUGAAAGCAAGUAACAUAAAAACCAGAUACAAUUUAGACUGGGAGUCUAUAAUUUGGGUUUAAAAAAUAAGCCUCAGCAAGAAUCAUCCUCAUUACAAUAAUGGCUUGUUUAUUCUGCACAACUUGUUUACAAUUACAGACCCUCUUUAAAAGCUGAUUUUAACAGGAAAUAGGAGCAUGCAAAGAGACAGAGCAGGGAUGGGGGGAAGAGACAGAGAGAGAGAGAGAGAGAGAGAGAGGAGAGAGGAGAGAAGAGAGGGCAAGGGCUUCAUGGUUGGUCAGUUGUUAUAAUUAGAGUAGAUGCAUAUAUGUAUUGCAAAACCAUUUAUGCCUUUACUCCAAAUCUUUUAAUUUCAGAUUUCUGUCACUGAAAUAUAAAGUCUCAAAUAGUCUAUUAUUCCAAAGAUAUCAUUAUAAUUGAAUUUCUAAUGAGAGUGUCUAUGGAGCUUUGUUCCUAGUAUUUCCAUUAUGACAUUGGAAUCCUCUUUAUCUAUUAUGGUCAGGUGACCAUGAAAUGAUGAGCUACAGCUGUUACAGGGCAUGUGUCUGCUGGGGCUUAAUUUAUAGUAAAUACACAUUUUAUUGCUAAUAUGUUUUUUUUUCUCAUUCAUUUCUUCAAAUAGUCAUUCAAAUAUUCAGGGGAACCUGGAAGGAGGCAGAGAUAAUGCUCAGGAUAACCAGAUGCCUGGGAUUGAAUCUUGAUCUUGUUACUAACUGCGUAAUCUUGGGCCUCUGUGUCUCAGCCUUCUUUUCUUUAUAAUGAAGGUGGUAACUCUCUUGUAGAUUGUUGUGAAGUUUAAAUAAAUUAAUACAUCUUAAGAGCUCAGAAAAGUCCCUGCCACAUAAUAAUAUGCUACCUAUUGUUAUUAUUCUUUGCUGGACCUUGGGAACAUAGUGGUGAUCGGGAUGUGCUCGAUCUCUUCCUUUACAGAACUAACGUUCUUGGGGAGAGAGGAGAUGGCAUUAGGCAGCUAGUCAUCCACUUAAUUACUUUUGUGGUAAGUGCAGCAGGAAAGUAUCAAAGUGAAGCUGUUGUAUAAAAUGGGGACUUGACCUGUUUGGGGUAGAUUUCCAGCUUCUAGAAGUGACAUUUGCUCUCUAAAGGAUGACUAAGAAUUAUUUAGGAAGUUAGAAAUCAGGAGAACAUGUAGGGAGAUUGCUUUGCUUACAGAAGCAAAAUGGGAGAUGAAAGGUAUAAUGCGGCAAACUGCUUAGAACUCACACUUCCAUACUCUGUGGCUGGAAACAAUUCAGUUACAAUGGUUUGAUCAUAGACUGAGUUUUCUUGUCAUUGAUUCCUUUUGUUCUUCCACUUAGACUCCUUGAUCCUUUGUGGAUCCUUUAUCCAUGAAACACACUGUAAAAUCCUGGGGUUUUCAUUGGUUAGAUGCCUCUGUUUUCUUACAAGCUCAUGACAAAGUCAUUUCUCACUAUAUUUUGUUGUUUUCAGCAAGUCAACUAAAGUUAGAAUCCAAAAAUACAUGUAAAUAGAAGUGCAUGUAAAUAGAGGUGUAUGUAUGUUGUAUAUAAUUUUACAUUAAAUUUAUAACUAUUUUUACAAAUUGACCAUACCAUUUGUAGAAUUUUGCAUUCUGCUUCUUUAUUGAGAUUUUAUGUGAACUUUUUCUUGUAUCAUAGUAUUCUUUGAAAAUAAAGAUUUAAACUAUAAUGCAUGGCUGUUCAGUUGUGUGAUUGAUCCCAUUUUGUGAACAUGGCUGAACAUUUUAGAUUGCAUCCAAAUGUUUAUCAUCAUAAAUAAUGCCGUAAAAAUGUUUACUGGAGUGCUUUUAGAUAAGUCUCCUUAGAGUGGCGCAUUGUCAGAAAUAAUAUUGGUAUAUCAAGGACCGUUUAUUUCUUUUUAAGUUUCUUUGUAUAUAUA
ensembl:lncRNA